CAAAGGGGCGGGAUGUGAGGAUAACCCGCAGAUGUGCGUCUUUUUUUACGACGUCUCAGGACAAGAGAUGCUAGGCAGACAUCGUGUGACUUGUCUCAGAGUCGCUGAAGAAGUUAACCAUUUUAGACCGCGGUGGAUGACAGAAAAGGGCCUCAGUAGAAUUUUGCAGAAGGUAGAGGAGACAUUCCUGGGACUCUAAUUUUUGUUGGAGCAAUUGAGGAACUCGCCUGGUAGUCGUCAGGACUGGUUUUGCCGCCUGCCUGAUUAUUUUGCCCCUCUUCAUAUCAUCAUCAUUCCCAACAUCAUUUCAUCAUCCAGACUGACCAUUUGACUGCUCAUAGAAGGUCUUUUGUUUGUCAACACCUUAUAACAGGAAAAAAAAUAGUCCCCAGUGAAAAGAGAUGACUUUAGAGUGAAUCUAGAGAUGACUUUGCUUUCUGAUGGCAGCUGUAGUUGAAUGGUUAAGUCCACUGGAGCCUCUCAUGUUCCCCUGCUGGACUGGGACUCCUGCCAGGACUUCCCUUUGUCUCUCUGCUGAAUGAAGGAAGAGGCCAAGUACACUGUCCAGACAGUGAGGUCUUACUUUUAAAGGCCUUGCACACACAGUCACGAUGCACAGCAAUUGCGCCCACCACAGCUGAUUUCGGUCGCAGCACUGGAUCCCAUCCUGGCUGACAUUUGGCGGUGGCGGGGUACACCCUGGACCGGUCUCCUGUUCAUCACAGGGCUAGAGGAAACACUAACGUGCCGCCCCGUAUUCAUCUCUAAAUUAAACUACUUCUUUUAAUAUCAUA